UUUUAUUUAAUGCAUACAGCAAAAUCACUGCUAUCUUAAUCAUGGUUUUUGCAACUCUGUAUCUCCAAGCUGAGUUUUUCUAGAGUUAUUCCAACAGAAAAUCUCCCAAGUAAUGGUUGAACAACCUUUCUUCCUCUGGUUUUCCCAUAUGUUCUCAGUACUACCAGAAUAGUUCUUCCAUCCUGAUAAUGCAUAGAAGAUUUAAUUUAUUCAUCUGUGUUUAUGGAGACUGGGAGCAGACACAUUGCAGCAUGCUCUUCACUUAAGAAAUGUUGAUCUCAGAAUUCAUAACAAAAUUUCCCCUUGCUUAUGGACAGCCUGGCAGACUUUAUUGAUUCCAAUAGCUGGUGGUGAGUGACUGUUCUUAAUUGGGGAAAAUAUUUAUCUGGAUAAUGCCAAUGAAAAGGAAAAUACUGGCAUGCUAACUAGCUCUGUGAGGUCUCUCCCUGCACAACUGUUAUUUGCAUUUAAAGCAGGCUAUUAAAUCUUGUUUGCUCAAUUUGGCUUUCCAGCUAUUCGAAAUGAAUUACCUCUAAUCUCCUGUUUUCUCUCUCUUUUCUCGCUGCUUUUAAUUUUAUUGUGUAUGUGUUUUUAAGUUUUUUAAUUAUGUCUUAAUUUUUAUUUGUAAUUCACCUUUGGGAUCUAUUCUGGGCAACAAGGCAGCUUAGAAAUUAAACAUUUCCAGUCAACUUGGGACAAAAGCAGUCUUCAAAACUGCUUCUGGGUUGCAAAUGCAAACAGCUAAUUAGAGUUCACCUCACACCUUCCCUUAUGACUCAGACUCAAGCCAAGGAAAAAUGGAAAACAGAGAAAGCUCUUAAGCAGUCUUAAGUUACUUGGUCUUGCUGUUCAGAAGGAUAGAAACAGCAGUGCUGCCUCACAAGCAAAAGCAGGAAGCUUUUUGGGAUGAAAGCAGGAGCUAGAUAACCCAAAAAAUUUCAGUCAGCACUGAAUAUCCAAUAGUUGUUAUUUUGAUCUUUAUGGAGUUGGAUAUGGUGGAAAAUUAUUGCAAGCCAGGGAUGUGAGUCACUGCUUUUAAUCACUUACUAGUAAUUUCUAGCUGUCCAUGAUGACUGGUUAGACUCUUAAUAACAGCUCUGAGUUACCCAGUUUCCAGAAUUGUUUUUCUGAACUGUAUGUAAUAAAUAUUCAACUUAGUAUGUAGGUAGAUAAUUACCCCAAUGCCCAUUUGAAUAUAUCCCAAAUACCUUUAUAUAACCCUCUUAUGCCUUACUAUUAAACAGGUCCCUCUGAUUUUGCCAUGAAGGCUUUAUAAAAGGAAGUGGAAAAGAGUAAUUCAGAUAGAAAUCUACUUGUAUUUUCCUGGACAUGGAUAAAAUUAAAGUUCUGUCUCUCCAAAACUCAA